rnacentral:lncRNA from 1 species
UUGGAAUCAGACUGGGAUGAAGAAUUUAUAACAAAGGGUUUCCAGAAUAUGGGUAUAACAAUCAGAUCUCUGAAAAUCAUCAAAAACAAAGUCACAGGGUAUGUUUAAAAAAAAUGUAGUUUUACAUCAUAUGUACAAAAUUAAUCAAAUAUAAAAUCUAAAGAACUAACUUAGUUCUGGUUUUCUAAAAUAUGUAAAUGCAGUUCAGUUCACCUGUUUAAAUAUAAGUUAUAUCAAACAUGUCAAAUAUAUGAAUAGCUGCAUUUACUUUAAAAAUAUCUGUGACUAAUACUUUGAAAAAAAUAUUAAUAUGUCUAAUAAGUUUACAAUCAACCAGAUGUAUAAUAUUGAUGGAGUUGGUAGCCAGCUUUCGCUACUUUGAAUUGAUUUCUCCCACAUGCUCCUUCAAUACCAAUGUUCGACCCACAAAUUUCAUAAAGAAUCUGGUAGACCAAAGUUGAUUUCUAGAAAAUAAAGCAUGACAAUCUAAAUAAAAAUCAUUCAAGCAUUAUAGCAUCACAUUAUCACAAUGUUAAAAGACCUCAGAGAGUACACCAAAUAUGUAGCUACCAAUUAUUGUCAGAUUUUUAAGAUUUACAACGUUAAGUCAAUGCUAUUUGCAAUCUUACUCUGUUUUUGUAUGAUCAGUCAAGAUGAAGAAAAUCAAUAAAAGUAUUGUUGUUAGUGUUUUAGUCUAGUGUACAACUCAAUAUUUUUCUAUGAAAAGUGAUGAUUAGCUCUGGUUCUUACUGUAUUUGUACUUUAAUUUCUUAUCAUUUUUAACUCACCUGACCUGAAAGGUCAAGUGAGCUUUUCUCAUCACUUGGCGUCCGUCGUCCGUCGUCCGUAAACUUUUACAAAAUCUUCUCCUCUGAAACUACUGGGCCAAAUUUAACCAAACUUGGCCACAAUCAUCCUUGGGGUAUCUAGUUUAAAAAAUGUGUCCAAUGACCUGGCCAUCCAAUCAAGAUGGCUGCAUGCCUAAAAAUAGAACACAGGGGUAAAAUGUAUAUUUUGGCUUAUAUCUUUGAAACCAAAGCAUUUAGAGCAAAUCUGACAGGGGUAAAAUUGUUGAUCAGGUCUAAAUUUAUCUGCCCUGAAAUUUUCAGACGAAUCAGACAACCGGUUGUUGGGUUGCUGCCCCUGAAUUGGUUAUUUUUACGGAAAUUUUGCAGUUUUUGGUUAUUAUCUUGAAUACUAUUAUAGAUAGGGAUAAACUGUAAACAGCAAUAAUGUUCAGCAAAGUAAGACCUACAAAUAAGUCAACAUGACCAAAAUUGUCAGUUGACCCCUUAAGGAGUAAUUGCCCUUUAUAGUCAAUUUUUAACAAUUUAGUGUUAUACAAAAAUUCUUCUCCUCUGAAUCUACUAAGACAAAUUUAACCAAACUUGUCCACAAUCAUCAUUGGGGUAUCUGGUUUGAAAAAUGUGUCUGAUGACCCUGUCUGUGAACCAAGAUGGCCGACAUGGCUAAAAAUAGUAUGCCACAAUCAUUACUAGGGUAUCUAUUUAAAAAAAAGUGUCUAAUGACCCUGCCUACCACCCAAAAUGGCCGACAUCAGUAAAUACAGUAACAGGUGAGCGACACAGGCUCUUGAGAGCCUCUAGUUACAAGCUUGUUACAGUACUGCUGAUGAAUGAAGAUCUGGAUAGGAUAAAGAAAAGAGAAUUAUAAGUAAAACAAAGAGAUUAAUGUGCAAAACAAGUAUUGAAUACAAAAAAAUGGCCUGCAGAUAUUAAGACAAAUAUAUACUGGUGUAUUACUUAAAUAGACCAAUUUUUUUUUGUAUUUGCAUGCACAAUCUAUCUAUUUUCAAGAAAAUGUACCCCUGAAAAACACCACAUUGAAAGUACAUAUACAGUAAUAGAUUAUUUUGUGUUUACAGUUUGCCAGCAGGGUAUUGUUUUGUUGACUUUACAGAUAAAGACAAGGCACAAGAAGCUUUAUUAAAAUUGAAUGGAAAGGUGAUACCAGGGACAACUCCAGUAGGUUACUAAGCAUAUUUCUAUUUAACUUCGAAAAAAAUAUAUAACAACCUAGUUUGAAAGUUUGCUUUUUUAAUUGAUAAAGUCUUUAAUUGGAAGACAAUUUUUUUUUAGUUCCAGCUUGAUUCAGCUUGAGACAUAACACCAACCAGGUUUAUUUUUCAUGUUUCUUGUGUUCAAAAUAAGACUUUUAUUGAUAGUCUUAAACAUUCAUACUUCCGCAAUAAAAUAAAAACAUGCAUCUGCAAAGUUAUACACUUGUUAGCUCAAAUUUAAAAACUAAAAAAGGAAAACAAUCUCUGCUAGUCAGGGAGAUUGAUCUACUUACAAACAUUGUGCAAAAAAAAUACAUUUGAUUCAAGGUUUCAAAUAGAAAUGAUAAUGGUACUCGCUUAUAAGUCGGAAGUUUGGGAGUAAAAUUCAGAAUCCAGAGAGGGUACCGACUAAUAAGCGAGAUCCCGAGACCAGAGGAAAAAUCCAAGCUCAAGAAAGGUGGUCAGAUGUGAAUUUCCUGACCAAAACUACGUUUGUGAUAUCCAAACCUACAUAAAUUCAAUAUUGACAUAGUAAAAGAAAGUGUACUUUUGUACAGUAAGAAUGUCAGAUUAAAGCAUAAUAUAUGUUUCCAGGUCAGAAGAUUUAAACUGAACAGUGCUGGGUAUGGCAAAGACAGUGCACCAUUGUAAGAUAUUGUAACAACUUAAAUUAAAGUAUGGUAUAUUUUCCAAGUUAAAUCAUUCAAGAUAUUGUCAAGAUGUAAAAAAAUCCACAGAAAAAUAUAUACGUGUAAAAAAACAAUCCACAAAAGAGUAUGCAUAAGAAAUGUACGGUAAGCUUAACAGUUGCAAAGCCAGAUUCAUUAUGAUAUAAUAUUUAUUGAUUAUUUCCAAAAGAUUUUAUAACAAUAAAGUGUUUCUUGGAAUUGUACAAUUACUACAAUUUGUUUCUUUCUAAGUCAAUAUAAAUGUUUUGUAGAAACGGUUUGAUAUCGAUAUCAUUGAAGAAACUUCAUGGAGAGUAAUAUAUAUGAUAAGUACUUCUUCAACUUUUCAUUUUUUAGACCAGAGUAUUCCUUGUUUGUUGGAGAAUUAUCAGAUGAUGUUGAUGACUAUGUUUUAUAUCAGGCAUUUGCUAAGAGAUAUAGGUCAUGUAGAUCUGUUAAAAGUAAGUUUGUUGCUAUGGAUGUGUUAUAGUAGGUAUUUUCUAAGAGAUAUAGAGGUUCCUGUAGUGUAGACCUAAGGGUAUCUACAUUGUGCCUUAGGUUACAAGCACACAUUUAAAAAUUACCUCAGGUCACAAGGUCAAUAUUAAGCAAACUUAAAUUAGCCUCUGUUACUUGUUCCGCUAUUAUCAGAUGAUGUUAACACCUGUUAUACUAGGCAUAUUUUUAGAGGUAAAGUUCAUAUAGAUCUUCUCAUAGUAAUCUGAGCCAACUAUAGUAAUUUCACUUUUUGGCCAUCCUUUUGUAGUAUAUAGAGAAAUCAUUAAUUGUUUUACAUUUUGUGCCUUAUAAUAGUAAUUGUUAUUUUCAUGUUUUGUAAUCAAUAAUUUAAAUGAAUAAUUAAGCUUCCUUUAUACUCAAUUUUGCCAUUUAUAAAAUCUAUGGUAUUAAAACAAUUUGUGUUGUUGAAUUUCCAUGUUUUAUUUUAUAUUUUCAUUUUCACUGACCUGUACUUUUUGUAUUGCAAUAUCGUAAAAGACACACUGAUGCAUUGAAACAUUGAGAAAAAAAAGCAAGAAAUAAUUUCAAAGACACUUCAAUUCUAUUGUAGUUGUGACUGAUAGUUCAGGACGAAGUAAAGGUUAUGGCUUUAUUAGAUUUACAGAAGAGAACGAUCAACAGAGAGCUCUUAUUGAAAUGCAACAUUUUCCUGGAAUAAGUCGCAGACCAAUUAGAGUUAGUUUAGCUACCCCUAAAAGGUAAUGUUUAUAUAUAUCUAUAUCUAUAUAUAUCUAUGUAAUCGUUUACAAUGAUAUACAUAUUUCUUCUUCUUUAAUAGUUGAUGAAAUAAACUAUGUAUCCUGCAAAUUACAUGCAAUGUCCUGCUUAUUGUGAAGGAUAAUACAGUGCCUUAUAGUUGACAUCCUCCUAAUUUGCUCUCUGGUAGAUGGGUUUUUUUUUUGGCAAUCAUACCACAUCUCCUUUUUAUUUAAAUUACUAUAUUGAACAGUUAUCAAACUUUCCAUUGUUAACAUGUCACAUUCCAACUCAGUUAUUAGAAAACUGUAAGUGCAGAUUCAGGUAGAAAUGCAAAAUUAGGACAAGUACUUUACCAAAAUCUACUUGCCUUUGGCAAUUUUUGUCUUGUCCCUACUGUUUGUGCUAAUUUUCAAUGUGCAGAAAUUAUUUGUUAUGGACAAGUACUAUAAAUUCAGAAAUUAUUGUGAGGUUUUUAUUAUUGCGAAUAAUGCGAAUGGGUGAAUAUCGCAAGAAUAAGAACUAGCAUUCUUAAAUCUGACACAAACAUUUAUAAACAGCUUUUCCUGAAAUUGCAAUAAUACUUAUGCAUUUUGGUCUAUCGAAGCAAAAACACAUAAUAAAUGCACUCAAUAAUUUCUGAAUUUACAGUAGUGGAAUAGGAACAUAAUCAAUUGUCUGAGAGAUUUUGGAACGAGUAAGGCAUGAAAUUUCCACAUCUCUGAAGCUGGAUAUAUAUAGACAGUAAUAAAAGAUUUAUUGUACUUUAUUAUUUCAGACCCCUGCCACCAGAUGUAUCUGGAGAUGUACAUUACAGUCAUUAUUAUGGUCAUAAUUACCCUUACAGUGCCUCAUAUUACCAGUAUUAUGGAUCCCAUACUGCACCUCAUUCAUCACAUGAUCAUGUAGGUGUUGUAAAAUCAUUUUCUUAUCAAAAUAUUGUUUAAAGUUUACAAUUUAUUGUCAAACCUUUUCUUUUUUUUUCGUACCAAAAUUAUGAUUGAGAAAGUAGCAUAUGAUAUAAUAGUGUUAACUACUACAAAAGAAAUAGAAGUACCAUUCUAAAAGAUCCAAAAUUUCAUUAAUUAUGCCUUCCAUAAGUAAUUUUUUUUAUUAUAAAUUAAAGCAAAACAGACAAGAAGAUUAGUUUUUGGAUAUUUUUCAUAUAAUAUAUGAAAAACACCCCAAAACUAUUAAAGUCUACAGAUUAUUUUCGUUCUUUUACCAUUCUCUAUGCAUGAUCUUUUAUAUUCGGUCAUGUUACUUAUUACAGGCAGUAGUUAUAGCUUCCACUAUACUAAUUAAAAAGCUUCAGAUCACAUUGACUUCUCAGGAAAGAAUAUUUAUAGCAGUUUAUAUUCCCAUCUGUUUUCUUACAAGAAGCUAUAUUGUAUUGUAUUUUAUGCAUCCAUCAGUUUCUGUGAUAAACAUGUAUGUGUGUAAUGAAGAGAGAACUAAGUGUUGACUAUUUUGUAGGCACACCAUGAACCCGCGACUGCAGAAGAUGAAAUGGAUACACUAGAAGGUGUGUACCUAAUAAAGUAUAAUGUAAAAAAUGGGAUCUUUAAUAUAAAACAAAAUAUUUGUUGCUAUUUUCAACUGGUUCUAUUUAAAUCAUUAAAUGAAUAGACCAUCAAAUUUAAGUUGUCUUUGUAAGUUGUAUGGGUUUUGGGUGUAUAGAAUAACCUUGUCUAUCUUUUAAUCUAUAUAUCAUGUCUAUUUAUCCCUCAUAUAAAUACAAAUUAAAGAUUUAAAGAAAGGGUUGUGAAUUCGUAUAAGUUAAAAGUUCAUAAGUUCUCAGCAUAUUAAUAGCCCCACGCCAUAAUUCCAAUGAUGAGCUUUGAAAGAGGAGUUCUUGUCCAUAAAAUGUUCCAAAAAGAUUUUGUUUUCAAUUAAGGGCUCCAAAGGUUGUAAAUGACUUUUUUUGUAAUGUAAAUUGUAUUCCAUGUUUUAUUGUAUUAUACAAUCAGAUGUCCAAAGAUAUCAGUAGACUCAGAUAUUGAAAACCGUUACUUCUUCAUCUGUCAAAGUUGAAUCUUGCGGAAAAAUUGGUUUUCUUUUCUUUUUUGUUUCCUUUUUUGUCUUGCCUGCAAAACAGGGGUUGCUUUUCCAGCAUCAACAAUUGUUAAGUUUUCUGCUUACAGUAAGUUAGUUUGAUGGAAAAUGAUUGUGAUAGAACAUUGAUAUUUAAUAUUAAGUUGCAUUACUAUCAGUAAAUGAUGACUAUAUUGAGGACCAGACCAAGGGAUGGUCCAGAUACUUUGAAUUACUUAGCCAUAUUCAAUGCUUUUUUUGUCCAUCAGAUUGUCUUUUUCAAAUAUUAUUCUGACAAGCGAGACAUAUCUGUGUCAACAGCUUUUUUUAAAGAAUAUUUUUAUUGAUUUAUACAAAAAAAAAAUGCUUUUAAAUGUUAAUUACUCCAAAUUUACUUUUAUUCCUACAUGUUUUAAUAGAAUAAUUUGUUACUUCAGAACCAGAAUUAGAGAUAGAUGUGUUUAGAUACAAUAAAGACUUUAUGGAACAAAGUGAGGUAUGUACAAAUAAAACCUUGCCACAGGUUUAUAAAAAUAAGGAGAUGCAGUAUGAGUGCCAAUGAGACAACACUCCAUCCAAGUCACAAUUUGUAAAAGUAAAUCAUUGAAGGUCAAAGUACGUCUUCAACACGGAUCCUUGGCUCACACUGAACAGCAAGCUAUAAAGGGCCCCAAAAAUAACUAGUGUAAAACCAUUCAAACAGGAUAACCAACAGUCUAGUCUAUAUAAAAAACAAGAAACAUUUAUGAACCACAUCAACAAUAUCAACCACUGAAAAUAACUGAAUAUUCUUUUUCAUUUAUAAUAUUCAAAGCUAAAACAGCUUAGGUUUUGUUCAAUAGACAAUGUUGUGAUAGUUUUUCUAUGUAAAGAAUCAUAAGGCUGUCUAAUUUCUUCUAGGAAUAAAUGAUAUCUCGGGUACCAGUCAGCAUCAUUUAUUACCAGAACAAUUAAAACUAUAUCAAGUAUUUACAGAAAAGUCUUGUAAACCAUGCAUCGCAUCUGUCAUCAUAUCAUAUUAAGGUACAUCAGAAUUUUUUUUAUUGUAAAUACUAAUAUCGUAUCAAAGAAUACUAAUGUCAUGUUAAGUUAUAAUUUUUUUAAGAAUUUUUUUUUUUCAUUUUCAGGAAGUGUUUGAAGCCAUUGAACUUUCAAGAUGGACACCAUUAGACAGUAUAACAUCAAAGUUACCUCCCCCUAUGUCUAUCUAGUCAUUAUCUCAACUAUGUCAACAGUAAUUGUGUCAUUCUAUUCAUAUCUCUUCAUUGUGUCAUUAUGUUUAUUACAUUUUAGUUCAUGUAUAUAUAUUUAAACAAACAAUAUUGACUGAAAGGAUUUCAGUUAUAAAACAGAAUGUGUUCAUUGUAUAUCAUAAUUGUCAACUCACUGCCAUCUACCAUUAUUAAUCAUCUGUCAUUGUCUACCAUAAAGCUUUGAAAAAAUAUCUUGUGUGAAAUUACUGUGUUGAUUUUUUACAAACUUGGCUAGAAUGAUCCAUAGAGUUUCUCUUUAUGCUAAGUAGAAACACUUAUUACAUUUGAUAUGGGAGUAGGCCAUUGAUUGUUAGCCAUUCUAGUUUUUGUCUCAUCUCACGUAAAAAACAAAUAGCAAUUGCAAGACUUAGAUGGUCUGUUUUAGGCUGAGGUAACAUCACCUAUAUUUGAGUUUUAGGCUGAGGUAGCAUCACCUAUAUUUGAGUUUAUGAUUAG